AGACACCUGAGGAGAGAAUACAAAGAUUAUGUUUUACAGGGGAAUUUUGUCUUUUUACGUUAUUACAUUUAUCUGAUAGAGCUGAUAAGGAUUUGCAUGAGAAAAGCUAAUAAAUAAUGACGCAGAGUUACAAAUUAAACUGCCGAAAUGCAUAAUGCGGUUUAAAUAAGCUCCAUUCUCACCAGGUUUUGUAUUCAAUUCCAUAUGUUCAUUUAGCAGUAUGUAACCGUUAUGCGUCAUUACUAAUAAUCUAAUAAUAUAUAUAAUUACAUUGUGCAUUAUGACUCUUGAUUACUUCUAUAAGUGAUACUUAAAUAUACCACGAUAUCUUGCUGCUAAUACUUACAUAUCUUAACUAAAAGUCAUAAUGUGUUGAAUUAUACAUAUCUAUAUAAAGAUUUAGUGGUAGAAUUAUGAAUGACAAUACAGUAAGCAGCAAAGCAUGACAUCACACAGCAAUGCAGCAUAUAAAAAUUCAUGACAAUGAACCUUUGAGGGAAAUGUUUGACAGUCAAAGGCAACACACUGUAGACAUUUAAGAUACGUGUUAAGAUAAGUUAAAGGGCUGAAGGUGCGGAGGUCAUGCUAAAAGGUUAUUCACUAUAUCUACACUCUAUACGUUUAUAUUGUCUAUCUACAUUUUUUCAAUAUAUCUUUUUGGUAAAUCAAUGGACUGUUGUUGCUUCUGGCUAGUAGAUGAAGUAGCAAUUUAAUAGGCCUCGUGGAAGAUGUUUUGUCAUGUCAUGUAUUCAAAUUAGGUGCUAGAAGAACAGAAACAAUGCCAGUGGAAAGUCAAUAAGGAUCCUCUCUCGUGUUGUGGUUGAGACAUGAAUUCCCUGGUUCAACAACGUCACACAGUGAGUUAUUGAUUGUUAUGACCAAGCCCCCAAGAAUAAUGCCAGGCUUUGAAGUCAAUUUGACAUAGUGGCCAAACUGUAGAAUACAACACACAAUGCCACUGGGCCUAAAAGUAUUUUUCUCAUAGACUUACAUUGUGAAAAAUAUGUCUGUGAAUUAGUGGAUCUUUUUUCUUUUUUUUUGAGGCAUGUAAACUUCCCAGUAUGAAUAGUCCCUAUUUAAAUCAUUAUGUCCUAAAAGUUGUAAAAAUCACUAAUAGCCGAAUCCAGAGUUACUUUCUUUCUGUCAUUUAUGUGACAGAGCCUGAGACCAAGUACCUGGAAGACUGGGUCAAAGGAAACACUAGUGCUCUGUGGGUCCCAUGGAUGCAGCAGAUGCAGAGCCUACCAUGAGCACACCAAAGUAUGUGAGGUGAUUACAGGAGCAGGUGACGUCACUCUGACCAGGUUCCCACACUGUUUCACAGCCCUCGCUGCUGUAUUCUGGUUGCUGGUUCCCCUGUCUGAAGAAGAUAUCGAGUACAGCUGAUGUGACAACAGGACAGAAGCAAGUGAGGAAGCCAGCCGAAAUUAAAGCGCUUCAUGAGAAGUGAAAAAAAAAAACAACCCAACAACAUGUAAAUGACAUUCUGAAACAAAAAAAAGGAAGUAAGUAGGAAGUAACUGACAAAAAGCUAAAAAUACCUUUUGUAUCACCUUUGUUGUCACCUAAUAUGGGCUCACAAACUAAAGAACAUUACACUUAACAUUGAAUGCAUUGCAAAUUAUUAUAUACUGUAAGCCCUAAAGGUUUUGUUUAGAAGUUUGUUUAUCCUGAACUUCAUUGCAGUCAUUGGUCAAUAUACUGCACUGCACUUGGUUAAUGGCUGCAUGUCACUACUUAAACCAACAGAGGGCAGGAGCACACAAAAAAUAUCAAAAAAGCCAAGGUGUUGUGAGUUGAAUGAAGGCAUCAAGUCCUCUUAUUUGAUGAUGUUGUAUUUUGUCCUCUUGUAUGACAAGAAUGAAAUGUUAAAUCAAAGCCUGGAGAAUUCAGUAAUCGCAAAAAUGUAUUUUUGGUAACAGGCAAACAUUUGAAUUGUGACUCUCCUGCAGGGGUGUAGCACCAAAUUCUGGGCCUAAUACAUAAGCAGUCUCUGUGGGUCCUCGCCCUUCAUCUCUUGAUCCAUGUCUCUCUCACACACCUUUUGAAUUUUUUUCUGACAAAGUUGGCUUCCUUUCUUUCUUGGAACCCUGAUUUCCCUUUCUCUGGGAAAGACAUGACAUUGUCAGCUGGUGCUCCAGCAGCAUAAGCAGUCGUUCACUCUGCUCUAGCUGCGUUUCAAAACGAAUCCUAGUGUAGGGGUUUAUUAAGCCAUUUUGCCAUUUUCCACUGUCCAACGCUCAGUCUUUCAACUGAUUAAGUCAGCCACUUUUAAUUUAGUAAUGGCAUUAAUUAUUUAGAAAUAAAAAAUAAGCAAAUAAUACUAAACUUCUAGAAUUUCGGGGGCUCCCCUCCCACUGGGGCCCUGGGUAAUCAGUUCCAGUUUUCCCCCAAUGAAGACCCCACUGCUCUCCAUCACAUAUGUAUUCUACAUGAAAACCUGGAUCUUUAUUGCAAGCCAUGCACAUCUUACUCCCAUAUUUUCUGGCUAUUGUGACAUUUACAUGUAAUGGAGCAGAAAAAAAACAAGCAUGUUCAUUA